UGCGCCUGCGCACCUCCCUUCCCUGAAGCCGCUCCUUACCCCGGACUAGGUGGGGCUAUAAAUGUUCGGGCUGGCCACACUUGGUCCUCCGGGGAGUACUCCACGCGUGUUGUCGCUCUGCUCGGGUUCCACUGGAUUUGGAGGUCUUCGUAACCGCCGCCUCGUUCGAGAAUAUGGCAGGGUCCGGGUUUUUCCCUCAAAUAAAAUGAUUUAACUUAAA